GUUUGAUCCUGGCUCAUAGCGAACGUUAGCGGCAGGCUUAACACAUGCAAGUCGAGCGACAAAGGGGCUUCGGCCCUGAGUAGAGCGGCGGACGGGUGCGUAACACGUGGAUAAUCUGCCUCGUGGCGGGGGAUAACAGUCCGAAAGGACUGCUAAUACCGCAUGUCAGGUCGGAAACCCUGGUUUCUGACGAAAAAGAGGGCGCCCGCAAGGGGCUCUCACCACGAGAUGAGUCCGCGGCCCAUCAGCUAGUUGGCGGUGUAAUAGACCACCAAGGCUAAGACGGGUAGCUGGUCUGAGAGGAUGACCAGCCACACUGGGACUGAGACACGGCCCCAGACUCCUACGGGAGGCAGCAGUGGGGGAAUAUUGGACAAUGGGCGAAAGCCUGAUCCAGCCAUGCCGCGUGAGUGAUGAAGGGUCUUCGGAUCGUAAAGCUCUGU
rnacentral:rRNA from 1 species